rnacentral:rRNA from 1 species
UACGGAGGGUGCAAACGUUGCUCGGAAUCAUUGGGCGUAAAGCGCACGUAGGCGGCCGACUAAGUCGGGUGUGAAAGCCCUGGGCUCAACCCAGGAAGUGCACUCGAAACUGACCGGCUUGAAUAUGGAAGAGGGUUGCGGAAUUCCCGGUGUAGAGGUGAAAUUCGUAGAUAUCGGGAGGAACACCAGUGGCGAAGGCGGCAACCUGGGCCAAUAUUGACGCUGAGGUGCGAAAGCGUGGGGAGCAAACAGG